rnacentral:rRNA from 1 species
AUUAGUAAUUAAUAUUUAGAAAUUAACUAAUAUUGUGCCAGCAGUUGCGGUUAAACAAUAGUAAAAUUUAAGGGAAGUUUUAUGGUUUAAUUAAUUUUAUGUAUUUUAAAAUUAAAAAAAAAAAUUAAAGGUAAAAUUUUGUUUUUUUUUUAUUUUAUUUUUAAUAUUAAUGAAAUUUAUUUUUAAAAUCAGGAUUAGAUACCCUGUUAUAUUAUUGUAAAUUAACUGAAGUAGUAUAAAAUAAUAUCUUGAAACUUAAAAGAUUUGGCGGUAUUUUAUCUUAUUAGAGGAACUUGUUUUAUUAUCGAUAAUCCACGACUUAAAUUUACUUUAUUUAAUAUAUUUGUAUACCGCUGUCAUGAAUAUACUUGAAAGUUAAAUUUCUUUUAAUAUUAUUUAUUUAAUGUUAGGUCAAGGUGCAAUUUAAUAAAGAAAAAUAUGAGUUACAUUGAAAAAAAUGAAUGAAUAUUUAUUUAUUUUAUAUAAAUUGAAUAUGGAUUUAAAAGUAAAUUUAUUUAAAAGAAAUUUUAUGAAGAAAGAUUCUAAAAUAUGUACACAUUGCCCGUCGCUCUUAUUUAAUUUAAGAUAAGUCGUAACAUAGUAGGCUCACCGGAAGGUGAGCCUGGAUUGGAGUAAAUAGCUAAGUUUAAGUUUUUUGUUUACACCAAUUAGAUAUCUUAUGAUUUUACUUUUCUAAACUGGAGUUGCAGCGGAAGCGGUGAAAGAGCUAUGAGGGGUAGUUCUAAACUGGAGUUGCAGCGGAAGCGGUGAAAGAGCUAUGAGGGGUAGUUCUAAACUGGAGUUGCAGCGGAAGCGGUGAAAGAGCUAUGAGGGGUAGUUCUAAACU